UGAUUUAUGGGAUGAAGAAUGAAAAAUCAAUACAAUUUUAAUGAAUGGAUGUUGCUACUUACUCUUAAUAAAGCAAGGGUCAUCAUCAUAGUGGUUAUGAGUACACUUUGUGGAGUGGAGUUGAUUUUAAUUCUCGGAGCCUUCUAACUUUUCUUCCAUAGUUAUAUUGUAUUUAAUAAGAAUAAUUGACCACUUGUAAAAUUUUAAUUUUAAUAUCUCACCACCAAAUACAAACAAUGAAUUAUUUGUCUUUCAUCAUCUAUAUUCGUAUAAAAAAUACUUGUAGUUGUCACCCAAUACAAUAAUAUAUUAUGCGAUGAUUGUCACUCUUAUUAUGGGAAACUUAUC
rnacentral:lncRNA from 1 species